CUCAAUGAAAUUAAAUAGCCGCAAUAUUUUGUGCUAAGGUAGCAUAAUCAUUUGUCUUUUAAUUAAAGACUAGAACGAAAGAUUUAAUAUUUUUAUUUCUUUCUAAUAUAUAAAUAUUUAAUUUAUUUCAAAUAUAAAAAAAUAUUUAUUUUUAAAGAAGACGACAAGACCCUAUUGAACUUAACUAAAGUUAAACUGGGGUAGUUAAUUAAAUAUAAUUUUAAUUUAAAUUUUAAAAACAACCUAAUACAAUUAAAAUUAUCAAGUUACCAUAGGGAUAACAGCGUAAUAAUUUUCCUAAGUUCUUAUUAAAAAAAUUGUUUGCGACCUCGAUGUUGAAUUAAUAAUCUAUUAAAUGCAAUAACUUAAUAAGAAAGUCUGUUCGACUU
rnacentral:rRNA from 1 species